AUGGAGGCGGCGGCGGCGGCGAGGCAGAGGGCGCGGCCGCGCACGCCGCCGGCCGAGGAGUACGACCCGUGGACGGCCUGGCUCUACAAGCCGCGCACCAUCUCCGUGCUCCUCGUCGGCGCAUGCCUCCUCAUCUGGGCGAGUGGAGCUCUGGACCCGGAGGGCGCUGCCUCCCACAGCAGCGCGACAUCUAUCAAGAGGGGUGUCUGGGCUAUGAUUGCGGUGUUCCUCGCUUACUGCACACUCCAGGCACCAUCAACGAUACUUAUUCGGCCCCAUCCUGCUUUCUGGCGCCUGGUGCAUGGGCUGGCGGUUGUUUACCUUGUUGCUCUCACCUUUCUUCUUUUCCAGAAUCGUGACGAUGCUCGCCGGUUCAUGAAACACCUUUCUCCUGAUCUCGGAGUUGAAUUACCGGAGAGAUCCUAUGGAGCCGAUUGCCGUCUGUAUGUUCCAGAAAACCCUAAAAACAAGUUCAUAAAUAUUUAUGAGACAUUGUUUGAUGAAUUUGUGGUCGCCCAUGUCUUGGGCUGGUGGGGCAAGGCUGUAAUGAUACGGAAUCAAGCUCUCCUUUGGGUCUUGUCGAUUGGCUUCGAGCUAAUGGAGCUUACGUUCCGACAUAUGCUGCCAAACUUUAAUGAGUGCUGGUGGGAUAGUAUUAUCUUGGACAUCUUGAUCUGCAAUUGGUUUGGUAUUUGGGCGGGAAUGCACACGGUCCGAUACUUCGAUGGCAAAACAUAUGAAUGGGUUGGACUGAGCCGACAGCCCAGCAUCAUGGGUAAGGUGAAAAGAUCGUUGAGCCAGUUCACUCCGGCACAGUGGGACAAGGAUCAAUGGCAGCCGUUCAUGGGGCCGUUGCGGUUCAUCCAAGUGUUGUUCCUCUGCGUCGUUUUCAUGAUGGUGGAACUCAACACAUUUUUCCUUAAAUUCUGCCUCUGGAUCCCUCCGAGGAAUCCCCUGGUUGUGUACAGAUUGAUCCUGUGGUGGCUGAUCGCGAUCCCGACCAUCCGCGAGUACAACUCGUACCUGCAGGACAGCAAACCGGUGAAGAAGGUCGGGGCCUUCUGUUGGCUCUCUGUAGCCAUAUGCAUAGUGGAGCUGCUUAUCUGCAUGAAGUUUGGGCAUGGUCUUUUUCAUGAUCCGAUGCCUACCUGGCUGAUCAUCUUUUGGAGGUCGGCGGGGAUAGCAUUCGUGAUCUUCAUGCUCGCCUGGUCGUGGAGGAACCACCAGAAAUUCCGGAGAAAGAAUCUUUGA
rnacentral:rRNA from 1 species